rnacentral:rRNA from 1 species
UACAGAGGUCUCAAGCGUUGUUCGGAUUCAUUGGGCGUAAAGGGUGUGUAGGUGGCGCCGUAAGUCGGGUGUGAAAUCUCGGGGCUUAACUCCGAAACUGCAUUCGAUACUGCGGUGCUUGAGGACUGGAGAGGAGACUGGAAUUCAUGGUGCAGCAGUGAAAUGCGUAGAGAUCAUGAGGAAGACCAGUGGCGAAGGCGGGGUCUCUGGACAGUUCCUGACACUGAGACACGAAGGCCAGGGGGAGCAAACGGG